rnacentral:lncRNA from 1 species
CACCGAACAGCAAGCUAUAAAGGGCCCCAAAAAAUUACUAGUGUAAAACCAUUCAAACGGGAAAACCAACGGUCUAAUCUAUAUAAAAAACGAGAAACGAGAAACAUUUAUGAACUACAUCAACAAACGACAACCACAGAACAUCAGGUUCCUGACUUAGGACAGGUGCAAACAAAUGCAGCGGAUUUAAACGUUUUAAUAGGUACCAACCUUCACCCUUACCUGGAACAAUAGACUAAUGUAACAUCACAACAUAGAAAGACAUUCUAUAAAAUAUCAAUUGAAAUGGCUUAACUCAAUCAAAAGACACAAGUGAACAUACACUAAUAAACCCAAGGGCAAAGAAUAGCACGUUUAUUUUUAUAAUACAUCUGUUGAUUCAAAUCCACAAUACUCAUUCACAUACACAAAGAUUUCACAUUCUUACAACACAGAUAUAGUGUUGGAGUGUUGGAAAACACAGAAGCUCUGCAUGGAAGCAAUGAUAACCCAAG